rnacentral:rRNA from 1 species
UGAAGCUGGAAUUGCUAGUAAUGGCAGGUCAGCAUACUGCCGUGAAUACGUUCCCGGGCCUUGUACACACCGCCCGUCACACCAUGAGAGUUGGAAAUACCCGAAGCCUGUGAGCUAACUUAAAGAGGCAGCAGUCGAAGGUAGAGCCAAUGAUUGGGGUGAAGUCGUAACAAGGUAGC